rnacentral:rRNA from 1 species
UACGUAGGGUGCGAGCGUUAAUCGGAAUUACUGGGCUUAAAGGGUGCGUAGGCGGCGCUGUAAGUCAGGUGUGAAAGCCCUCGGCUCAACCGAGGAAUUGCGCUUGAAACUGCAGUGCUUGAGUGAGGUAGGGGUGCAUGGAACUUCCGGUGGAGCGGUGAAAUGUGUAGAUAUCGGAAGGAACGCCGGCGGCGAAAGCGGUGCACUGGGCCUUGUCUGACGCUGAGGCACGAAAGCUAGGGUAGCGAACGGG